rnacentral:misc_RNA from 1 species
GAUGAAGAACGUAGUGAAAUGCGAUAAUUAAUGUGAAUUGCAGAAUUCCGUGAAUCAUCGAGUCUUUGAACGCACAUUGCGCCUCAUGGCAUUCCGUGAGGCAUGCCCAUCUCAGCGUUAGAAAAUAUUCUCAAAUUUUAGUUUUGUGCUAAAAUUUGGAUCAUGUCAAGGAAGCUAUUACUAUUAUUGUGAUCGCUCUUUGGAAAUUGAUAGGUCUUUGAGUUGCUACUCAUAGAACGUGAUGAAUCUUUCUUCGUUCUAUUGUAAUUCACUCUGGUAGUCCUAAAACUUGUAUGCCUGUGGCAUAUCUUGUAAUUUGACCUGAGAUUGGGUAGGGAUACCCGCUGAACUUAAGCAUAUCAUAAGCGGAGGA